rnacentral:rRNA from 1 species
CCUACGGGAGGCAGCAGUGAGGAAUAUUGGUCAAUGGGCGAGAUCCUGAACCAGCCAAGCCGCGUGAGGGAAGACGGCCCUAUGGGUUGUAAACCUCUUUUGUCGGGGAACAAAACCCGGGACGUGUCCCGGCCUGCGUGUAUCCGAAGAAAAAGCAUCGGCUAACUCCGUGCCAGCAGCCGCGGUAAUACGGAGGAUGCGAGCGUUAUCCGGAUUUAUUGGGUUUAAAGGGUGCGUAGGCGGUACGUUAAGUCAGCGGUAAAAUUGCGGGGCUAAACCCCUUCGAGCCGUUGAAACUGGGAGUCUUGAGUGGGCGAGACGUACGCGGAAUGCGUGGUGUAGCGGUGAAAUGCAUAGAUAUCGCGCAGAACUCCGAUUGCGAAGGCAGCGUACCGGCGCCCGACUGACGCUGAGGCACGAAAGCGUGGGGAUCGAACAGGAUUAGAUACCCGUGUAGUC